GGUUAAGCGACUAAGCGUACACGGUGGAUGCCCUGGCAGUCAGAGGCGAUGAAGGACGUGCUAAUCUGCGAUAAGCGUCGGUAAGGUGAUAUGAACCGUUAUAACCGGCGAUUUCCGAAUGGGGAAACCCAGUGUGUUUCGACACACUAUCAUUAACUGAAUCCAUAGGUUAAUGAGGCGAACCGGGGGAACUGAAACAUCUAAGUACCCCGAGGAAAAGAAAUCAACCGAGAUUCCCCCAGUAGCGGCGAGCGAACGGGGAGCAGCCCAGAGCCUGAAUCAGUGUGUGUGUUAGUGGAAGCGUCUGGAAAGGCGCGCGAUACAGGGUGACAGCCCCGUACACAAAAAUGCACAUGCUGUGAGCUCGAUGAGUAGGGCGGGACACGUGGUAUCCUGUCUGAAUAUGGGGGGACCAUCCUCCAAGGCUAAAUACUCCUGACUGACCGAUAGUGAACCAGUACCGUGAGGGAAAGGCGAAAAGAACCCCGGCGAGGGGAGUGAAAAAGAACCUGAAACCGUGUACGUACAAGCAGUGGGAGCACGCUUAGGCGUGUGACUGCGUACCUUUUGUAUAAUGGGUCAGCGACUUAUAUUCUGUAGCAAGGUUAACCGAAUAGGGGAGCCGAAGGGAAACCGAGUCUUAACUGGGCGUUAAGUUGCAGGGUAUAGACCCGAAACCCGGUGAUCUAGCCAUGGGCAGGUUGAAGGUUGGGUAACACUAACUGGAGGACCGAACCGACUAAUGUUGAAAAAUUAGCGGAUGACUUGUGGCUGGGGGUGAAAGGCCAAUCAAACCGGGAGAUAGCUGGUUCUCCCCGAAAGCUAUUUAGGUAGCGCCUCGUGAACUCAUCUCCGGGGGGUAGAGCACUGUUUCGGCAAGGGGGUCAUCCCGACUUACCAACCCGAUGCAAACUGCGAAUACCGGAGAAUGUUAUCACGGGAGACACACGGCGGGUGCUAACGUCCGUCGUGAAGAGGGAAACAACCCAGACCGCCAGCUAAGGUCCCAAAGUCAUGGUUAAGUGGGAAACGAUGUGGGAAGGCCCAGACAGCCAGGAUGUUGGCUUAGAAGCAGCCAUCAUUUAAAGAAAGCGUAAUAGCUCACUGGUCGAGUCGGCCUGCGCGGAAGAUGUAACGGGGCUAAACCAUGCACCGAAGCUGCGGCAGCGACGCUUAUGCGUUGUUGGGUAGGGGAGCGUUCUGUAAGCCUGUGAAGGUGUGCUGUGAGGCAUGCUGGAGGUAUCAGAAGUGCGAAUGCUGACAUAAGUAACGAUAAAGCGGGUGAAAAGCCCGCUCGCCGGAAGACCAAGGGUUCCUGUCCAACGUUAAUCGGGGCAGGGUGAGUCGACCCCUAAGGCGAGGCCGAAAGGCGUAGUCGAUGGGAAACAGGUUAAUAUUCCUGUACUUGGUGUUACUGCGAAGGGGGGACGGAGAAGGCUAUGUUGGCCGGGCGACGGUUGUCCCGGUUUAAGCGUGUAGGCUGGUUUUCCAGGCAAAUCCGGAAAAUCAAGGCUGAGGCGUGAUGACGAGGCACUACGGUGCUGAAGCAACAAAUGCCCUGCUUCCAGGAAAAGCCUCUAAGCAUCAGGUAACAUCAAAUCGUACCCCAAACCGACACAGGUGGUCAGGUAGAGAAUACCAAGGCGCUUGAGAGAACUCGGGUGAAGGAACUAGGCAAAAUGGUGCCGUAACUUCGGGAGAAGGCACGCUGAUAUGUAGGUGAAGCGACUUGCUCGUGGAGCUGAAAUCAGUCGAAGAUACCAGCUGGCUGCAACUGUUUAUUAAAAACACAGCACUGUGCAAACACGAAAGUGGACGUAUACGGUGUGACGCCUGCCCGGUGCCGGAAGGUUAAUUGAUGGGGUCAGCGCAAGCGAAGCUCUUGAUCGAAGCCCCGGUAAACGGCGGCCGUAACUAUAACGGUCCUAAGGUAGCGAAAUUCCUUGUCGGGUAAGUUCCGACCUGCACGAAUGGCGUAAUGAUGGCCAGGCUGUCUCCACCCGAGACUCAGUGAAAUUGAACUCGCUGUGAAGAUGCAGUGUACCCGCGGCAAGACGGAAAGACCCCGUGAACCUUUACUAUAGCUUGACACUGAACAUUGAGCCUUGAUGUGUAGGAUAGGUGGGAGGCUUAGAAGUGUGGACGCCAGUCUGCAUGGAGCCGACCUUGAAAUACCACCCUUUAAUGUUUGAUGUUCUAACGUUGACCCGUAAUCCGGGUUGCGGACAGUGUCUGGUGGGUAGUUUGACUGGGGCGGUCUCCUCCUAAAGAGUAACGGAGGAGCACGAAGGUUGGCUAAUCCUGGUCGGACAUCAGGAGGUUAGUGCAAUGGCAUAAGCCAGCUUGACUGCGAGCGUGACGGCGCGAGCAGGUGCGAAAGCAGGUCAUAGUGAUCCGGUGGUUCUGAAUGGAAGGGCCAUCGCUCAACGGAUAAAAGGUACUCCGGGGAUAACAGGCUGAUACCGCCCAAGAGUUCAUAUCGACGGCGGUGUUUGGCACCUCGAUGUCGGCUCAUCACAUCCUGGGGCUGAAGUAGGUCCCAAGGGUAUGGCUGUUCGCCAUUUAAAGUGGUACGCGAGCUGGGUUUAGAACGUCGUGAGACAGUUCGGUCCCUAUCUGCCGUGGGCGCUGGAGAACUGAGGGGGGCUGCUCCUAGUACGAGAGGACCGGAGUGGACGCAUCACUGGUGUUCGGGUUGUCAUGCCAAUGGCACUGCCCGGUAGCUAAAUGCGGAAGAGAUAAGUGCUGAAAGCAUCUAAGCACGAAACUUGCCCCGAGAUGAGUUCUCCCUGACUCCUUGAGAGUCCUGAAGGAACGUUGAAGACGACGACGUUGAUAGGCCGGGUGUGUAAGCGCAGCGAUGCGUUGAGCUAACCGGUACUAAUGAACCGUGAGGCUUAACCUU
rnacentral:rRNA from 1 species